AUGUUAACUGGGCAAAACCGGGGAGAUCCGGUGACGCAAAGCCACGGGUCCUUCGAGGAUCGCCGGGUUGUUAAA
rnacentral:ncRNA from 1 species